AGGCUGAGGUCGCGGAGCUGUAGGGAACACGUGCAGGCCGGCUCACGCGGCAACUUGUUUACCGAGAAGCUGGGGAUUUUCCUUGACGACACUUACCCAAGACUGUGGAGUCUGCGCAGGCGUACCAAGCGACUUGUUCAGCUGCCCUGGAGAGGCAAGGAUCGCCACCGCCCAGCAAGUGCUACACACACUGGCCGUGUCUAGACCCUCAUACUCUGAAUACAGAGGGCGACCGGACACACUGCCUCUUCCCUCCACGGCUACAUCUCGGUGAUGCUCCUGAAGUGUAUGCAUGGUGACAGGUUUACGUACAGCGCUUUGAGAGUUCAAGAGGGGGGCGGAAGUGGCAACCCCACAACCGAGUGCAAGGGCAGAAUGCCAUCUACAGCCAGCUUUAUGCCCGUGGGCUUUGUCUCAUCAAGCUGAUCCUUUCAGUCAUUCAUUAGCCCAUCUGGCUGUCUGGCGCUGUGCUGGAAAGGGGAAGAAUCGCUCCCACAGAAGCGGCCCAGGAGUGGACGGCUGUGGAAGAGCCGAAGGGGUAGCCAGAAGUGAAACUUCGAGAUAAAGGAGUGCAGUGGCAGGUAGCAUCAUACUCCAGGCCAGGGAGAUGAGGAGCUGGGAACCCCAGGCUGUAGAGCUCACUGGCUCUUUCUAAUCUCCUGGUGCCCCACAUGGCCACUUUGGGAAUUACACUUUGCAAGGGCCCAGCUGGGGUCAGGGCCUCCAGCAACAGGCCAGCUCCUCCCGAUGAAUCUUGUCAACCACUCAUUAUAUCUGAAGAUCCAAUACUCUUACUACUGGUUAAGAAAAAGAUUGUAGACACCACCUGGUUACUCAUUACACGUUUAUUGUACAUUUUCACAAUCUGGAUGCGCCACAGAAUUGGGGGCAUGGGGUAGGGGAAGAAGGAAGGCAGGGGACACUGGGAUAAUAUUGGGGGUCUAGAACACAAGCACCCCCACCCCCAGCAUCUCUCCUACCCUUUCACACCACAGUUUAGAUCUCCUUGGUUCCCCUCCACACAGAAAACCUGGUGUGGGGGGGGAGAGUUUGGGGACACCCCCCCCCAGUGGCAGGCUAAGGGGCUGUACCCUCAGACCCUUAAAACUGUGCCAUUUAAAAAGGUUAGAUCCUUCUUCUAUUAUUUCACCCAAAAAGGGAAUAGCUUGCAGUCUCUCUCUCUUUCUCUCUCUCCCCCUCUCUUUCUGGGCUCAACAGCCCUGGAGAAAGGCGAGGAUCCCCAUCAUCCAGCAAGUCCCAUACACAUAUUGGCAGUGACUAGUACCCCCACCCUGAAUACAGGGGGGCAGUCUGAGGAGCUGGGCAGUGAUGGGGGGCAACACCCCACCCCCAGAUUGGGGAGGAAAGUUUUCAGUCCAACCUCUAGCAAGGAUCAGGCCAGAGGUUUCAGGCAGGAAUUGGGAGGAUUCUGUCUUGUUCUACUCUCCCCAAGGCAGUGAUGACACACACACACACUGGAGCCACCCUCCUCCAAGAGUCAGAUUGUGGUCAGCCCCCGCUCCUCCUGGUGGGAGGAGGAGGCAGAUCAGGCAGAUGGGAGGGAGGGAGACCCCCUGGGAAUGUCAGUUGAGUGCCCCACAUGAAAACUGGGGAGCAGGAAUGUAGGGAGAGACCCCGAGUGGCAGAAUUAUUGGUCCAUCAUAACACACUGAACUCCAAGACACUUACACACCAGCUGGGGGGGGAGAGGAGGGGCAGGAGGUCUGGAAAACAGGGUAAGGGAGGUCAACUAGACUAGAGGGCUGGGAGGGGGCAAUUCUGGGGCCCAGAGCAGCCUGGUUCCCCAAAAGCCCGGCUCCCCACCACCUGCAGGUAAUGUCGUGCAAAUGAAAUGUGAUAAGAGGACCAAUGGAGACUAACUCUUCAGAAAAGAAAGGAAAA